UUGCAUGGUAACCAAGAGCUGCAGCUUCACAGUUGGUAGUUGUGGAUUCUCCAACAUCAUGCAAGAAAAUUGGAGAGACUUUGACAGUGUUGGUCCUGUGUUUCCUCUGACUGUCACUCAAUUCUCCUACAUCU